UUUGCGCGGUUGCAAUCGUAAGUGCGCAUGCGCCAGCUGGCAUGAGAAACAAGAUCAAGAUGGCGGUCAUUAAUCGCACGGACAAUAUUGGCAGUUUUAUUGGAAGGGAAAGCAUCUUCAACUAUAACGAAGCUUCUUAAAGCAUUAAAGAUGUGACACCCUUAAUGGAAUGUUUCAAUUAUUACAGUCUUCGAAGAACAAGAGGAGCUAUUAAAGAAAUGAACUGCUUAUGGAAAAGUUGGAACAGAGAAUACAUAUAAAAAAGACAGGCCAGGAAUCGGACUGGGUGACCCCAGCUGUUUAUGACGCAUUUGAAGCAUAUUGAACCACUAAUACACUACAUGGUCAUUACAAAGUGAAAAUGCUGUUUUGUGACAAACUAAACACACACAACUGAAAAAUGUUGUUUAUGAUAAAUUUGAUCCCCUCCAUUGAUCCCCAACAUUGUGCAUACAAAGACACAAAUUCAAAAUCAAAUAGAGAAGGCUAAUUGAGCAAGCAGUAUCUGAUGAUGUUGCCCAGCAUUGCAUAGAAAAAGCCACAAAUACCACAUGGAUAGCUAACAGUAGCAGAACUGUAGAAGCACUGUUUUAUUUUGAUGCUGCCAGACUUUGAAAAAGAACCUUUCUUCCAAUACAGUUAAUACUUCUGUUUCAAGUUAGAUUAUAUCAACUGCCUAUAUUGAACACAAGUAAAAAAUUGAAGAAGAGCAAAGCCCUUCCUCAAAAUCUUAAAUAAGGAGUAAUUAAAUAGUGAAAAGAUAAAAUAAAAAAUAUUGCUGUGAUAAAA